UACGGAGGGGGCUAGCGUUGUUCGGAAUUACUGGGCGUAAAGCGCACGUAGGCGGCUUUGUAAGUUAGAGGUGAAAGCCCAGGGCUUAACCCUGGAAUUGCCUUUAAGACUGCAUCGCUAGAAUCGUGGAGAGGUGAGUGGAAUUCCGAGUGUAGAGGUGAAAUUCGUAGAUAUCGGGAGGAACACCGGUGGCGAAGGCGGCCAGCUGGCUCUGACCUGACGCUGAGGCGCGAAGGCGUGGGGAGCGAACGGG
rnacentral:rRNA from 1 species